GUGCCAGCAGCCGCGGUAAUACAGAGGGGGCAAGCGUUAUUCGGAAUUAUUGGGCGUAAAGGGCGCGUAGGCGGUGAUUCAAGUUGGAUGUGUAAUCCCCGAGCUCAACUUGGGAACUGCAUCCAAGACUGGAUCGCUAGAGUACUGGAGAGGGUGGUGGAAUUCCUCGUGUAGCGGUGAAAUGCGUAGAGAUGAGGAGGAACACCAGUGGCGAAGGCGGCCACCUGGACAGUAACUGACGCUGAGGCGCGAAAGUGUGGGGAGCAAACAGGAUUAGAAACCCCCGUAGUCC
rnacentral:rRNA from 1 species